GGGGAAUGCUGGGUCUGAUGGGGUACCUGGCAAGGAUGGACUUAUAGGAGCCAGGGGAGAUAGAGGGAAUCCUGGUGCUGAGGGUCUUGCUGGAACUCCGGGGCUUCAUGGCUCUGUUGGUCCAGUCGGCACCUCUGGAGUCCCUGGGAAGAGAGGAGACAAUGGUGCUAGAGGGCCUCCAGGACCCCAGGGACAAUCAGGGAUCCGGGGGAAGCUGGU